AAAAGAUUACAAAUACUACAGUGUCUAAGGCAACAGGAUCAGGUGAAAAAAGUGAACUUCCAGCUCAAAGUGUUCCCACAUCAAGAAGGUGUCAAGUUAAAGAUGCAACAAUGUUAGAACAGGCAAUCCCACCUGUGUAUCCAAACCACCCUGCCAUUUAUCACAGCCUGCUGACC